AUUUAUUUUCAUAGUUUCCUUUUUUUCCCUCCAAUCCAAGGCACCCCUGAGCCCCAGAAGCCAAAACCCAGUGUUUCGUUUUAGUUUGGUUCUUGCUGAGCUUGCUUACCUCACCUACUGGUCUCUGCAGCUACAUCUAGCAAGUUUAAGAAAGGGUGUGUUUAUUCGGCAGUCACCAUGAGAGUACUUUGGAUUCUGGUGUUGAUGAUUUUUAGUAAUGGGCUUGGGGUAAGUGGGGCUAAUAAA
rnacentral:misc_RNA from 1 species